CCUGGGCUAAAGCAAUCCUCCCAGCUCGGCCUCCCAAAGUGCUGGGAUUACAGGUGUGAGCUACAGUCUCCAGCCUUGCAUUGAGUCUUAAAGGAUCUAAGUAUGAGAGCAAGGGGACAGAGGUGGGAGGGAUGGUGUAAUGGAGGACCUGGCAGCCAUCUGAGGGGCACAAGGACUGGGAGAGGCAAGGGUGACAGAUGGGCUGUGCUCUUGUAUGACAGGUUGGGACCAUAUCCCUAAGGUAAGGGGAAGCCACUGACAGAUUUUUGUCAAAGGGAGGUAGAUAAUUAGAUUGACCUUUCAGAGAAGUCAUUCCUGUGCCACUGCAUGCAGGAUGGUUUAAGGUACAUGGCUGUGCUUUGGUCUAGGAUAGGCCAAGGUGGACAUCCGGGCCAGAGGGACUCAGUGAGUUUAGAGCACAGGUGUAUAACUCCACUUGUGAUCACAGCCAUGUAGCCAUAACACGGAAGGCCAUCACUUGGCUCUAAGCCACUAUUGUCUGUAAAAGGUAUAAUUGCCCUGUUGACACUGUACAGGAGCUCAUGCCCAGAGAAAGAGUUAAGCUGCUGACCCUGAAGGCAAGUGAGAGCUGGCCACACAGCUGUGCGCGGGAGCGACUGGCUCAAGCAGCUGAGACAGAAGAGACAGCGUAAGAGAGCUGCUGAUGAAAGAGCUGCUAAUGAGACAGCUGCUGAUGAGAGCGCCCGCUGAACAAAAUCAUCUUUCACCUACCUACGGCCCCCUACGUGUUCUUUCAGGCAUCCACCCACUCCCCUCAGACCUCAGCAUGGGCUGGAACCUGACUCUGAACCUAACAGAUGGAUUGGAGGGCAGUGAGGUUGCAGGGGAGAGAUGAGUCAGGAGCUCCUGGAGAGACAAGUUUAGUGAAACUGGAAGGGGAGGCUUCCCGUUGCCUGGAUAGGCCAGAAGACACUCCCACACCUGUUACUUGUUCUACCACAGGACUAAGACUAUGAGAACAGCACUAAGGAAGAGCGGGGAGGUAUAAAAGCAUCUCCCAAUCUUACCGCUGGGGAAAAGCAGAGCUGUAAGAUGGACUGACAGCUGGCCACUGCUGCACAGAACUAUAGCAACAAUGUGAUUAUGCUCCAAGAGGCCCCUUCCAACCCUGGAAUGUAAUUCAGGCUGAACGUUCAGUAAUGAUGAGGACUUGCACCAACCCAGCCUUACCGUGACCAACACCACCAGGGGCCAGUGACACAUGUACUGCUCACUCUGUUAGUCAAUAUAUGAACAGGAAGUAGUGAUAAUCAUGAUAAAAAUAGGAUCAGCAACCUGUACAUUAUUGAGCACUGGGUACCAUCAAAGGUGAACCUUUUAUGUCAGGAAGUUAAUUGGACAUUAUUACAUUACUGUGAGCUCUUAGAGAUUUAAGCUUGUCGUCAAUAUCCCAUCAAUUCUGUUUAAAAGUGGGUGGCAGGCCAGGUGCGGUGGCUCACGCCUGUAAUCCCAACACUUUGGGAGGCUGAGGCAGGCAGAUUGCCUGAGGUCAGGAGUUCGAGACCAGUCUGGCCGACAUGGUGAAACCCCUUUACUAAAAAUACAAAAAUAUUAGCCAGGCAUGAUGGCAUGCACCUGUAAUCCCAGCUACUCGGGAGGCUGAGGCAGGGGAAUUGCUUGAACCAGGGAGGUGGAGGUUGCAGUGAGCUGAGAUCACGCCAUUGCACUCCAGCCUGGGCGACAGAGCGAGACUCUGUCUCAAAAAAAAAAAAAAAAAAAAAAAAAAAAAAAAAAAGUGGGUGACAGAGUUGCUUUGUUUUAGAGGAGUCUUUAGACCCCAAUAUCCAUCUUCUUGUGACACGCCCACGGUUUUACUGUUACGGUUACUCACGUCAUUGAAGUGUUGGCUGGUUUUCAUAAUGUAAGGAGUUCUUUCGUUUUUAUCCAGCUUCAUCCACCCCUGCCCAAGAAACUCCCUGGAAGUUCAAAACAAAACACAAAACCAAUUAAGUUUUUAAAAAUAUGGUGGCUAUGAUCCUGGACAGUUGUCACGAAUAUUAGAAAAAUUCCAUUUGACAUGGCCUAGAAUGGUUCCUGACACCUGCUGCUGCCAGCCUCACAAGUGAAUUUUACCUCGGCUGUUGCAGUUUACCUCUCAAUGCCAAAAAGGAAGAUUCUUCAGCUUCCAGCUUUCUCUUAUAAAUGUUUGGAACUGUGUCCCUAUUAGGAUCCUAUAAAGCCUUCUCUGAAGUUGGAAAACAAGAACCAACACAAGGGAAAUAAAGAGGUUAAGUACUACCUUAGAAAUCAAGACUAUUUUCCCAGGAUUAGCUUUUAAAAACAUUAAGCCUUAGCAGAGGGUCCAAAAAUUUCAUCACUACCAAAAAUGUUAGUCAGAAGCAGAAUUUUCUCCCUCCACUCUGCGCUGCCUGCCAUUCUCCUGGAGGAUGCAGAUUUCAAAGGCAGGGAUUGCGUUUUGUUCUCCCCAGCGCUCAGGAGGGCGCAGGUGGUCAGGGCUGAAAAGCGCUCCUUUUAGGCUUGUACCGCAUGUUGCCCUGACCAGGCAGUUCAGCGGGGCAGAAGCUCCACCUGGUCAGAUGGGCUGUCUUCAGGGCAGCAUUCCUGAUCAUUCACUUCAUUCCUGAGCAGGUCACCAGACACAGCAAGAAACAAGGGACAAGUGAGAUGCAGCAUACAGGAAUUAUUUUGUAUAGUCAUUAAAAACACUCGAAAUUACUCUGAUACUCAGGUUGACUAAGUCCCUGGGCAGGGUUCUUUGUCCCUUGCUGUUGUUGGUCCUGCUCCCAUCCUGCAGAGUGCUGGACACAGAGGCGUGCCAGUUCCAUGGAUGGAAACAACUGGUAGAUACUCACACAGGAACUGAGGGGACAGACAUACACACAACCUGCCUUAGGAAUAAUGUCAACUUCUAAGACAGCUAGAGCAGCCGAGCCCUGCUGCUGUGGGGGGUGGCACUCACUCGUAGGGAAUGCUUCUGAAAAUGACAUGGUCCAGGAGGGUGAUCUGUUCUGCCAGCUCCAUGGCCGACAAGGACUCAAAGCAUUCGGCCUUCAUGCAGUCAGUCUGCAAGAGAUGAGGGAGGGAAAUGAAACACCCAGGAGAGGGCGCCUGCCAUCUCAUUGCAGGUCAGUGAGGCAGACAGCUGCAUGUGUGGAAGCAUGAAGUUCACCACUAAAUUCUAACUAUGAAAAAAAUGGCAGAAAGCUAAAAGUAUCAAAGCCAACAUGAAUAUCUUAGACCAACUGCUAGACCCCACACCAAAUGUGGUUCAUCUCACAGAGCUUCACAGAUAGGACAGAGGGCCUAAUACUACAACACUCCUUGAUCGGUUACAAGCAUAUUGCUCGCCUUGGAGAGGUAGUUUGCACAUAGUUGUGCUAGAUAAAAAUGUGGUCAGACUUACCAUUUGAAUUAUAUCCUCUAAUUUUAGGUGGAUGUCAUCUUGGUCAUCUUGUGAAAGGGCCCUGAAAAAGAUAUCAAAUUAUCCUCCAUGAAAGAAAAAAUAGACAACCUAGGAACAAAACUACAAAUGCAGUUUGGUUUUCCCUGGAUGGGAGGUCUGAGGAUUUGGGUCUACAAGGCCAUGCAGCACAACCAACUGCUGAGCUGGAGAUGAGCAAUCCCCAAACAGAAAACAUGCUCAAGGCAUGAGAGAAUCAUCAGGACAGCUGAUUUAGAACAAAAAGGCAACCUGUUACAUACAAGGUUGUAAAUGAAACAACCACCGUCACAGUGAGUCUGAGGGUGAGCUGGGUGAGCUCUGAGUUACCAUCCAUAAUGUAAAAUGGAGCAUCCUCUAAUGCUAUCAGCCAGUUGGACUCCUAGGCCUGAGUGCCCUCCUCCCCACACCUCUAUCCCCUACCGUGGGCUUUCCCUGCCCUCACAGAGGCAGGAGACGCAGGGCCACCCCUUUCUCAAGCUUACGUAGACCAGAAGCACAGGGGGUUCCUAUGUGGCAAGACUCUGAACAAUGCCAGGCAGGAGCCAGCAGAUAGCUUCUUCCCCCUUGCAUUCCAGAUGGACUUUCCUCAGACACUUUUGGCCCUGAAUCUCAUACAUGUUAUUCAGCUCUCAAUAAAUAUCUUUUAAAAAAAUAAA